rnacentral:rRNA from 1 species
CAUAAUCAGUAGUCUUUUAAUUGAAGGCUGGUAUGAAUGGUUGGACAAAUAUUAACUGUUUCAUAAAUAUUUUAAUUAAAAUUUUAUUUUUUAGUUAAAAAGCUAAAAUUUAUUUAAAAGACGAGAAGACCCUAUAAAUCUUUAUAAUUUAAUUAUUAAGAAUUUUUAGAAUUGUUUUGUUAUAAUAAUAAAAAUUAUUUUAUUGGGGUGAUAUUAAAAUUUAAUUAACUUUUAAUUUAUUAAUUCAUUAAUUUAUGUAUAAUUGAUCCAUUAUUAAUGAUUAAAAAAAUAAGUUACUUUAGGGAUAACAGCGUAAUUUUUUUGGUGAGUUCAUAUCAAUAAAAAAGAUUGCGACCUCGAUGUUGGAUUAA